AGAAUCAACGCUGGCGGCGUGCCUAACACAUGCAAGUCGAACGCGAAGACCCCGCAAGGGGUUGGUAGCGUGGCAAACGGGUGAGUAACGCGUGGGCGACCUACCUCAGAGUGGGGGAUAACCUUCCGAAAGGGAGGCUAAUACCGCAUGACAUCCCGUGUUUAGAUACACGGUGAUCAAAGCCGGGGAUCGCAAGACCUGGCGCUUGGAGAGGGGCCCGCGUCCGAUUAGCUAGUUGGUGGGUAACGGCUCACCAAGGCUCCGAU
rnacentral:rRNA from 1 species